UAAAGCAGUCACUAAUGAACAUAAUUAGAAGUUCUAAAUAUAUUUUAUUGUAACUAUAAUAGAAGCUAAUGAUAUAAUAUUGAUUAUAUUAAUCAAAUAAAGUGGAUUUAUACUUCAUGAACUUUGGAAAUAUGAAAUCUAGUGAGCAAUACUAAGGAAUGAAAAAGAGAAGCUAUGGAGUAUGAAAUAAUGGUUGGUUAUGUAACAUUACCUCAAGAACAGGAAACAGUAACUGAAACUAUGUUCUUCUACAUUUAAUCUUAAUAAGUUCAGCAGUUUGAAUGUUAAUGAGACAUUAUUAUAAACAAACUGCAUUUGUAGAUUUUGGGAAGAAUUAUAUCUUUACAAUAACUAUUAUUAUUUACAAUUGUUGUGUUAAGGAAACAAUCACUAUUUUUUUAAUUGCCCAGGAUGUAUUCAUAGUAACUGUAGGUAUCAUAGUAAUUUUAUGAAAUUAUCACAACAUCUAACGUUAGGUUUUAUGAAUUGAACAAUUUUUGUAUAUAACAGCACACAAACAAGAUAUUGACAUUGCUGCAAACUAACACUUACAUUUAUAAGUUAAUUAUCUACAUAUAUAAAUAUGAAUACAUCUACAUUAGGUAGUAAUGCAUUUAAUUUGAUGCACCUGUGUUUGUUCAGUAGUAAUGUCUGUAUUGUUUAAUAAGUUGUUACAUAUGCUUAUUUUUCUAUGUAGACUGCAUUAUGUUAAGGAACAUAUUUGUGCCUUAUUUUAAUAAAAAAUAACCAUAACUGAAACUUUUUUUUUUUGCUACCUGUUUGUUUAAUAUUCCUAACUAUUAGUAGGUACGGGUCAUUCAUAUAUGCAUUAUCUGUAUAUUCUUGUAAAAUAAACUAAUAUUGUGAACCACUUUAAUGGCUUUUCCUUCUAAAGAAGACAGGUAAAUUACCAAAAAUAAAACUGACAAAUACAUAACA